rnacentral:rRNA from 1 species
GACGAACGCUGGCGGUGGGCUUAACACAUGCAAGUCGAACGGAAAGGCCCUGCUUUUGUGGUGUGCUCGAGUGGCGAACGGGUGAGUAACACGUGAGUAACCUGCCCUUGACUUUGGGAUAACUUCAGGAAACUGGGGCUAAUACCGGAUAGGAUCUCCUCCUGCAUGGAGGGGGUUGGAAAGUUUCGGCGGUUGGGGAUGGACUCGCGGCUUCUCAGCUUGUUGGUGGGGUAGUGGCAUACCAAGGCUGUGAAGGUUAAGCGGCCUGAGAGGGUGAACGGCGUCAUUAGGACUGAGGUACGGAGCAGACUGCUAUGGGAGGAAGCAGUGGAGAAUAUUGCACAUUGGGCGGACGCCUGAUCCAGCGGCGACGGGGGAGGGAAGACGGAAUUCUGGGUGUAAACCGCUUUCGCCUGAGACUCCGCGUGAGUGACGGUAAUGGGAAAAGAAGCACCGGCUAACUUCGUG